CAUUGCAUAGAAACAGGCAUAAAAUUUUCCAGAGUGCAAGCAUUGUCUUGCAGAUGCCUAAGUUCAAUCAGUUUACCCCUUGCCUUAUAUGGAAGAACUAGAGUAGCUUUCUGAGUAUACCAAAAGUUGUCAAAUCAACAGCAGAUGUCAGGAGGUAUCCUCAAAGGCAAGCCUGAUUUAUAUGGAAGCACAUGAUUAAUGCUCUAUUGUGGCAUGCAAGGCACUACUUCGACUUUGGAUUGGCUUGCAUAUAUGGGCAUGUUUUAAAUAGGAAAGAAACCUUUCACAUGGUGCAGGUGGGUAUCUCCGUGGGCAUGACAAUAGUUGAAGAAGGAAGAUUCAGGGGUUGAGCAUUAGUUGCGCUACAAUCAAGCUCACACUCUAGCUUUGGCUUCUAGAUACCGCAUGAAGCACGUUCAAGAUUAGAUAGUGAUUUGUAUGGUAUCUCAUAUUUUACUCAGGAAAUGCACUAUUGUUACCACAAUCGCUUAGUAUCAAGGUGAUGCACCUAAUGUGUCAAAUGCU